AGUGAACGCUGGCGGUAGGCCUAAUACAUGCAAGUCGAACGGCAGCACAGUAAGAGCUCGCUCUUAAGGGUGGCGAGUGGCGGACGGGUAAGGAAUACAUCGGCAUCCACUUUUUCGUGGGGGACAACGUAGGGAAACUUACACUAACACCUCAUACGUCCUACGGGUGAAAGCAGGAGAUCUUCGGACCUUUCGCGAUUGUAUUAGCCGGUGCCGGAUUAGCUAGUUGGUAGGGUAAAGGCCUACCAAGGCAACGAUGCGUAGCUGGUCUGAGAGGAUGAUCGGCCACACUGGAACUGAGACACGGUCCAGACUCCUACGGGAGGCAGCAGUAGGGAAUCUUCCGCAAUGGGCGAAAGCCUGACGGAGCAACGCCGCGUGAGUGAUGAAGGUCUUCGGAUCGUAAAACUCUGUUAUUAGGGAAGAAAAAAAGUGUAAGUAACCAUGGACGUUCUGACGGUACCCAAACAGAAAGCCACGGCUAACUACGUG
rnacentral:rRNA from 1 species